rnacentral:rRNA from 1 species
GACGAACGCUGGCGGCGUGCUUAACACAUGCAAGUCGAACGGAAAGGCCCUGCUUUUGUGGGGUGCUCGAGUGGCGAACGGGUGAGUAACACGUGAGUAACCUGCCCUUGACUUUGGGAUAACUUCAGGAAACUGGGGCUAAUACCGGAUAGGAGCUCCUGCUGCAUGGUGGGGGUUGGAAAGUUUCGGCGGUUGGGGAUGGACUCGCGGCUUAUCAGCUUGUUGGUGGGGUAGUGGCUUACCAAGGCUUUGACGGGUCGCCGGCCGGUGAGGGUGACCGGCCACAUUGGGACUGAGAUACGGCCCAGACUCCUACGGGAGGCAGCAGUGGGGAAGAUUGCACAAUGGGCGGAAGCCUGAUGCAGCAACGCCGCGUGCGGGAUGACGGCCUUCGGGUUGUAAACCGCUUUCGCCUGUGACGAAGCGUGAGUGACGGUAAUGGGUAAAGAAGCACCGGCUAACUACGUG